GACGAACGCUAGCGGCGUGCCUAAUACAUGCAAGUCGAACGCAGUGGGGACGGGUGAGUAACCCGUGGGUAACCUCCCAUCAGAGGGGAUAACACUUGGAAACAGGUGCUAAACCGAUACUGAUGGAUGGACCCGCGGUGCAUUAGCUAGUUGGUGGGGUGACGGCUCACCAAGGCCACGAUGCAUAGCCGAGCUGAUCGGGUGGUCGGCCACACUAGGUAGGAGACAAGGCCCAGACUCCUACGGGAGGCAGCAGUAGGGAGUCUUCGGCAAUGGACUAAACUCUGACCGAGCAACGCCGCGUGAGUGAAGAAGGUUUUCGGAUCGUAAAACUCUGUUGUUAUAGAAGCGGUAUCAAACCAGAAAGCAUCGGCUAACUACGUGCCAGCAGCCGCGGUAAUAC
rnacentral:rRNA from 1 species